UACGUAGGGUCCAAGCGUUGUCCGGAAUUAUUGGGCGUAAAGAGCUCGUAGGCGGUCUGUUGCGUCGGUUGUGAAAACCCGGGGCUCAACUCCGGGCCUGCAAUCGAUACGGGCAGACUAGAGUUCGGUAGGGGAGACUGGAAUUCCUGGUGUAGCGGUGAAAUGCGCAGAUAUCAGGAGGAACACCGGUGGCGAAGGCGGGUCUCUGGGCCGAAACUGACGCUGAGGAGCGAAAGCGUGGGGAGCGAACAGG
rnacentral:rRNA from 1 species